rnacentral:rRNA from 1 species
AAGGUUAGCUAAUCCUGGUCGGACAUCAGGAGGUUAGUGCAAUGGCAUAAGCUAGCUUGACUGCGAGCGUGACGGCGCGAGCAGGUGCGAAAGCAGGUCAUAGUGAUCCGGUGGUUCUGAAUGGAAGGGCCAUCGCUCAACGGAUAAAAGGUACUCCGGGGAUAACAGGCUGAUACCGCCCAAGAGUUCAUAUCGACGGCGGUGUUUGGCACCUCGAUGUCGGCUCAUCACAUCCUGGGGCUGAAGUAGGUCCCAAGGGUAUGGCUGUUCGCCAUUUAAAGUGGUACGCGAGCUGGGUUUAGAACGUCGUGAGACAGUUCGGUCCCUAUCUGCCGUGGGCGCUGGAGAAUUGAGGGGGGCUGCUCCUAGUACGAGAGGACCGGAGUGGACGCAUCACUGGUGUUCGGGUUGUCAUGCCAAUGGCACUGCCCGGUAGCUAAAUGCGGAAGAGAUAAGUGCUGAAAGCAUCUAAGCACGAAACUUGCCCCGAGAUGAGUUCUCCCUGAGACUUUAAGUCUCCUGAAGGAACGUUAAAGACGAUGACGUUGAUAGGCCGGGUGUGUAAGCGCAGCGAUGCGUUGAGCUAACCGGUACUAAUGAACCGUGAGGCUUAACCUU